rnacentral:rRNA from 1 species
GCAGUUAAAGCUCGUAGUUGGAUUUCUUUCAUUCUCUCGCUUGGCCGGCCCUUCAAGGAUCGGACAGCGAAAGGUGAAAAAAUUUGUCUUAAUGCAUGCGUCUACUUAACUGUGGACGUAGGUUGAAAGACUCGUUUACUUUGAGAAAAUUAGAGUGUUCAAAGCAGGCGUUUGCCUUGAAUAUGUUAGCAUGGAAUAAUAGCAUAGGACUUCGGUUCUAUUUGUUGGUUGUUCACGAAACGAAGUAAUGAUUGAUAGGGACGGUUGGGGGCAUCCGUAUUCUCAAGCGAGAGGUGAAAUUCUUGGACCUUGGGAAGACGAACAGCUGCGAAAGCGUUUGCCUAGGACGUUCUCUUUAAUCAAGAACGAAAGUUGGGGGAUCGAAGACGAUCAGAUACCGUCGUAGUCUCAACUAUAAACUAUGCCAGCUAGGGAUCGGCGGAUAUAUUUUUAUGUCGUCGGCACCUUACGAGAAAUCAAAGCAUUUGGGUUCCGGGGGGAGUAUGGUCGCAAGGCUGAAACUUAAAGGAAUUGACGGAAGGGCACCACCAGGAGUGGAGCCUGUGGCUUAAUUUGACUCAACACGGGAAAACUUACCAGGUCCGGACAUAGUAAGGAUUGACAGAUUGAAAGCUCUUUCUUGAUUCUAUGGGUGGUGGUGCAUGGCCGUUCUUAGUUGGUGGAGUGAUUUGUCUGGUUAAUUCCGUUAACGAACGAGACCCGCGCCUGCUAAAUAGUCGAACGCUCCUCGGAGUGAUUUGCACUUCUU